rnacentral:rRNA from 1 species
UACGUAGGGUGCAAGCGUUGUCCGGAAUUAUUGGGCGUAAAGAGCUCGUAGGCGGUCUGUCGCGUCUGCUGUGAAAACUCGGGGCUUAACCCCGGGCCUGCAGUGGGUACGGGCAGACUAGAGUGCGAUAGGGGAGACUGGAAUUCCUGGUGUAGCGGUGAAAUGCGCAGAUAUCAGGAGGAACACCGAUGGCGAAGGCAGGUCUCUGGGCCGCUACUGACGCUGAGAAGCGAAAGCAUGGGGAGCGAACAGG